rnacentral:lncRNA from 1 species
ACAUGAUGCAUGGAUGAUAGUCUAAAGGAACUAGGACUGUGAGAUUCAGAGGAGCUGUCAACAAAUUCAAUAGGUGGGCUUCUUGUGGACCUAGUGCUCUGGGGAUAAGGAUGGUGGUUGGAGUAGUCAUCUAGUGGUUCUAACAGGAGAAGGUCUAGACAAAGAGGGUCCUUUUGGUUAGAUUGAAGGCUGAGUUUGGAGUGGAGGCAAUGUAGGAAUAGCUUACUAUUGAAGUCUUC